rfam:Anopheles sinensis unplaced genomic scaffold AS2_scf7180000691656, whole genome shotgun sequence.
AGUCACCUAUGUUUUGUAACGGGUUGGAUCCGACGCCUCUUGAAGGCUAAUGUAGGCGCUCCUCCCUAACUACUACUCAACUGAAACAACUAGGAUGCGUUGUUCCACCGACGAGAUAGGA